rnacentral:snRNA from 1 species
UUACUCGCCUGUUGCCGGGGCCUCGUUGAUCGCCGAGGACGAGCCCCCAAGGAUGAGGCUCGGGCAUUGCAGCUGCGCUCGCGUUGACCCUGCCACUGCCCCAAAAUGGGGCAAAUGGGGCAUGCAAAUUGCUUAAAUCCGGUUCAGCGGGAGAGGGCGCCACCGCC